UAUAUAUUCUUAAUUCCAUUCCUUUACUUAGAUUUGUGUGUAUUAGGUAUAUGUUGUGAAAUUGUUAGAUGUUACUUUUUUAGAUUUACUGCACUGUCGGAGCUAGAAACACAAGCUACACCCGCAAUAACAUCUGCUAAACACAUGUAUGUGACCAAUACAAUUAGAUUUUUAAUAUUAGAGGGUUCCAGGUGUGAUUCUCCAGUUACUACAGUAUUAGGAUAUUUUUAAUGGGACAUGGUUGCAUGCAAGUUCCUGUCCGGGUUCACGGUUGAUGUCCACUAUGACAUAAUUAUGACUUCAUGGUCAACAUAAGUUUAUCUGUAGGCUACUUUGGCUGCUGCAGUUCAGACAGUUCAGGCAGACUGUGUCCAUGGUUCAGACGUGUCUAGAUGGCCUAGCCUAAAAUACACAUUUCUGCACUUUUUUUGUUUUACAACUUGAUUCAAUGGCAGAUGACAAGGAGUUAGGUCUAUUUUGUGCAGCUUUGUGUUACACAGGAAAAAACAUGAACAUUUUUACAAUGUCUUCAUGAACACCGUACGUGGUAUGGUGAUUUUAACAACACUUAAUUGGAAGACCGUCACCAAGAGAAAGGGAUGGAGGAGGAGGUAAAGGAAGAAGAACCAGUUGCUCAACUAAAGUAAGAGAACAAGGGCAAGUCUGGCAAGGACUUGGAAGAUAGUCAUCAGAAGAAAGGGAUGGAGGAAAAGGUAGGAAGAAGAGCCAGUUGAAGAGCUCAGCUGAAGAAAGAGAGGAAGGAAUGGAAAAGGACGUCUACUUCCCAAUCCUCAUCAAUUUCCUGAUGAAUCUCACUGAUACUGUUGGCAGUGGAAAGUGAUUCAGGAGGGCAUUUGAUCUCCUGUAACCAAAGUACACCUUGCCAAAAUGUGCUGGAAGAUAGCGAAAACAGUUCUUCCCAUAUAGCGGUAGAGAUCCUCAUCCCGGCCCUUGAACACAUAUUAAAGCUAGAUGCUGCUAGAGAAGCUAGCUUCACCCCCUCGCUGACUGGAUCAGAGUGUGCAAACAUUGCAAGCAUCCAGGAACUAAAAAGCCUGGCAGUUAAGUCAACGACUCAAGACUCCCUACCCCUCAUCCACUGAAUCUGAGCAGAGCCUGGAGUUGAUGUGUGAA
rnacentral:lncRNA from 1 species